rnacentral:misc_RNA from 1 species
GGAAAGAGCAAAAUCACUUGAUCCGAAUGAGUGCCAAAAAUCCACAACGUGCCUAAUUUUAUUUAUUUAUUUACUUAAGCAAAACCUGAAGGGACCCGCGAGCAUUCACCCAACUGUAAAUAGCAAACGAGAGAAGGCUUUAUGAAUUUCUUGACGAGGCACAUGGUGAUCAAUUUUUCAGAACUAUUCCCACCCGCCUAACCAUUUUAGUGAAAAAUAAAAUCUAAGAAUAAGUCAGCCUACAUAACUAUCUAUCUCAUCAACAACAUCAAUUAGGCCUUAAUCCCAAACUUCAUAAACUAUCUAUAUAUAUAUACAAAGUUCAUAAACAUAUUCAUCCUCAAACAAAUUAUGCUCUAAUCCGCCAAGAUGAUUACGCAAUUGAUUCGCAUGGAAAACCCAAACUGUCCUCCAAAAACCACCUUAGCACUACAUGCAACUCAUCUCAUACUGAUAUUUGUUAAACACAGUGAAGGGAGGGUUCUAUUUUUCUGGUCUAAGCUGCUUCAGCUUCAUUAUAGUUGGUGUCAUCCAUCAUCUCAACAACAGGAGCAUACUCGUCAUCGUCUUCAAAGUACAUUCCAUCCACUGCACUGUUCUGCUGGAACUCCCAUCCCAGACUGGUCUCAAGCAGUUCUUUGAGACUCCUGGUCCACAUCAAAAGAUCUCCAUCAACCACCAAGGCAUCUUGCACCAACAAAAAGAAAUCCUGCAAUUCCGAUCAACCUUUAAUAGAUAAGCUGUACGCCUGUACCUUUAACAUAAAAUUUACCCAUGCAAUGUAAUAGGACUCUACAUUGCUAAAAAUUGAAUUUCUCCCUCACAUCCCUCCUUCCUCCUUUUGGCCUCCUUACAUAGUCGGUGUAAAAAGCUAUCAGCAGAAAACCAAGACUCGUCCAACAAUGUUGAUACACCUACCCCUGCACAAUUUGUUUCUUCUCUAUCUUUCUGAAGUCCAUAUUUCAGUUGAUAGUAUAUGACUUUGAUGAACUUAGUAAAUAGCUGACUCCUUGUAUGGAAUGGAGCAUCAAUACAACCCAAUAAAAGGCUAACCAAAGACUUCCACUGCAAAAAUGCCUCGAGUGAUUGGCCCAUCAAGAAUGCGAUAUAGGAAAAUUGCAGCUCUCCAAUAAGCAAGUCUUCAGAACCCCCGUAAUCUUUCAUCAAAAUGCUUUCCAAUAAUUCUGUCUUGUCAAGAUUCAAAGACGUAAGUUCUUCCCCACUCAUUCCUCUGCGCUUUAUAACAUGAGGAAUUUUAGUGUAGUAACAUCCUCUCUUCUUUGACUUGUCAACAGAUGCAGAUGCAGAUGCUGAGAACUUGCUGGUCUCCAAUUGCUCCUCUAAAGCUUUUUCCAUGGCUGUUUUAGGACUGUUUUUAAUCAUCACAGACUCACUUGCAACUGUAAUUUCUCCUCCAAUGGGUUCAAUUCGUUCAAUGACAUUCUUCGUAAGGUAAUUAGACAACCGCUUCCAUUCUCGAUACUGACUUAGAUUAUAAGGACCAAGAUGCCGGUCAAACUCUAAGCUUUUAACUGCUUGAGAAAAUCUCUCUUCCUUGGCAGGCAAAAAGAAGAAAAGGAAACAAACACAAGAAAACAAAGUUAAUGCUCUGCAAAACUAGGAAAUAACAUAGAGUGAAGCGAUUAGAGUAAUAUUUCCCAUUUGAACAAGAAAUUCUAAAUUGCAAACUACUAUGACUGAUUGAUUUAGGAAAUCAUUUUUCACUAGAUGGAUUUUCUCUCCCCCAAAUCAAAGGUAAAGUUAAAAACUAAAAUCACAUAAACUACAAACGUGUAUCGAUAUAUCUCAGAAGGUUAUGAAUCAGGGAUUCAGCUGUAGGUAAAAGCAGACAGGAGCCUUCUAUGAUAGUACCUAAACCACUAGAAGAAUCUUAGGUCCCUACUCCCAUAAAGUUUAAAUCCUCUCAACCAUUAACAGAUCAUAUUGCACUGAGAAGUACUAGCCAUAAGAACUUCCGUAUUAACUUCUUCUGAAGAGAACCUAAGUUCAUUCCAUGCCAAACAAGAAAUACUAUUCCCCUGGGAUUUUACUGUUUCCCUCUUUAUUGGAGCCACAGAGCACACAAACAAACCAUAUUCAAAAUGAAGAAAGAAACCAAGACAACAAGGUGUCAAGGACCAAACCUAACUGUAUCACAACUCAAUCCAAUAAAGGGACUGCUAGAAAAGUUUGUCUCAAGUUAGAUAAUAUAUCAACUAAGAAUUUCUAAAUCAAUUUUAACUUUUAUGAGCAAACAUCAGGCCAAACUUAUCGUGAUGUUGCAAAACAAUCAUGAUCAAGCUAGUGCUUUCCUCGCAUGUUGGAGCUGGCUCCCAUCAGCAAAAAAUAAGGAAAGGAUUGCCCAAAACUUGGCUUGAGAAUUUAUAGCAGACAGUAUGAAAAUUGGGAGCAAGGAAUCAAGUAUGACAAUUGGCCAGAAAGAAAACCUCUUCCUCUGAUACUUUCACAAGUAGUUCCUCCUGUUGAUCCCACUUACGGACAAUCACCUCAGAGGGGCCAGCAUGAAUAGAGAAGCCAAUAAUCGGUGAGAACUCCUUCCCAUUCCUGCUGGAUGAACUAUAGUAAACAAAAUGUGGACCAGGAGGAAUCAUCUUAAUGCCCUUAAAAGCAGGACCAACAGUAAACAUCUGAGUGUCAAUUCCAAGGAGGGUGUACUGAGGAACGUCGAGGAGAAGAAGUGUGGCUCCAUGCUUCACAAACUCGAGCGCCGUUUCAGGAUCCAUGGUUUUAUUUUUGGCGUUUCUACUUUCUAGUUGAAGAGAAAGGAAAGAAGUAGAGAGCGCAGAUAGAAAGAGAGUUCCCUGCUAGGCUAGGUGCUUCCACUAAAAAUCCAGAAACAUCUUACGCGAGACUUCUUC